GCGCUAGUGGUUAAGUGGUAUAACGUCUGCCUUCCAAGCAUAUGUCCCGGGUUCGAUUCCCGGCUGGCGCA